CCACCUUUGACAUGGCAGGAAGGCUCCAGAGAUGGGGCUGUGCUCGAAAGAGAACCUGCACACAGGUGCUGCAUGGCUGUCGUCAGCUCGUGUCGUGAGAUGUUGGGUUAAGUCCCGCAACGAGCGCAACCCUUGCCAUUAGUUGCUACGAAAGGGCACUCUAAUGGGACUGCCGGUGACAAGCCGGAGGAAGGUGGGGAUGACGUCAAGUCCUCAUGGCCCUUAUAGGUGGGGCUACACACGUCAUACAAUGGCCGGUACAAAGGGUAGCCAACCCGCGAGGGGGAGCCAAUCCCAUAAAGCCGGUCGCAGUCCGGAUCGCAGUCUGCAACUCGACUGCGUGAAGUCGGAAUCGCUAGUAAUUGUGGAUCAGCAUGUCACGGUGAAUACGUUCCC
rnacentral:rRNA from 1 species